UCAACUGCUAGAUAUGCUCACAUCCA
rnacentral:piRNA from 1 species